rnacentral:lncRNA from 1 species
CUCGGACAGAAGAGGGAGUUGAAAUGGGGACCUUCCCAGCUUCAGCCCCCAGGAGAGAUGACUUUUCUUUCUUUAUCAGGCUACAACUUUUAAAAGGAGAAAAAUAUUUUUAAGAAAGAAAAAGCAGAAAAAAAGAAAACUUUUAAAGGAUGGAAGGGAUCCAGCUCUUUAAGCCACAAUAAAACUGCUCAUCACUCAGGAAGUGUGUUAGCCAAAACUACGAAAAGAAAUUCCUUCUUGACCGCCGUCGUUCCCAUGGUUGCAGUUCAUCCCCAAGUGCAGACCACAGACACAGAAAUCUGCGUCCCCCAGGCAUCUGCACAGCUAAGAAAUCGGAAGCGGCUGCCAGCCCCUCACCCUCGGGACUUUUACUGGUCCUGCGCCCAAUGAGCAGGUGAGGGGCGGCACAGAAAGACCUUCAUCGCCUUUAAUGGCUCUCAGAGUAUAAGAGCUCCCGGGCACUGUGGGACCUGGGUUCUGAGGUUCCCCUCGGGCGGCUUCCGGCCCGGCCCAGGGAACCAGCAGCUGCGGCUCUCCACAGAGUGCACGGGCAGAGGACCCUGCAGACCCCUGCUGAGAGGAAGCCGGAGACACGGCCUCAGGUGCAGGCCUUAGCUCAGCACACAGCUCUAUCUGCAGAGUGGCUCCCACAGCCUGGGCGUCACUGAGGAGACACACGCUGCACAGGGCCCGCUGGCCGGGCCCAACCUGGCCAAGGGAGGUGAUCACGCACCCAACCACAGGGCGUGCGGAAACUGGGGUGACUCCCUGGCACCUGGACGGGCUCAGAAGGGCCUUUUCAGUCCGUCCUGGGUGUCCAGCCUGUGACCACCAGCAGCUCCCUCCUGCUUGGACCUGAAGGCAGCUCCCUGCAGCAUCCAAGGACAUGGGUCACCCCUGCCCACCUGCCCUGGGCCUGGUCUCAAGUCAAAGCCGCCAGAGGUCCCCGUCCAGAAGCAGCGCUGUUUCCUCGCUGCCCCGCAUCCCCGGUGGCCUGGCCUGCCGGUCGCCCUCCAGUGAGACCCCACUCUGAGGCCUCAGGCUGGCACAGGCACCGAAACGCCCCCAAACGCCGCAGAAGCAGAGGAAAGGACACCUGCUUUUCAGCAAAGCCACUCCCUGGGUCACUCCUCCACGGGGCAGAGAUCUGUGAGAACCAUAAACUUGCAUUUUCUUCAGAAAGCACCUUCUUCUAUCUAACUGUGGAAGCCUUCUUAAAUAAGUACAAUACUGUAAUGUAAAUGCUAACUUCGGCCCCCAGUACACUCGCCAGCAAGGAAAGGAAUUCACAGGCGAGCACUCCACGUCAGCGCUGAAAAGAACUAGGAUGAUCCGUGUGCUCAGGCAGAGCGAUCUAAAGCAACACAUGGUAGGGACUGUCAGCGGACGCUGCCUCACUGUGAGCCUGCAGGAAAGGACCUGAGUGUAUUCAGAUGGUGACAGUAAGUUCUAACAAACUUCCCACACGCAGAUAUAAAUCCAAUCACAUCAGUAAAAAUAUCAGUAAAAACUGACUCUUACCCAAAGGGAUUACUGGCAAAGGCUUCGAGCCAGGGAGACCAAGGAGAGCACCCACUCGGGGAGGCCCAGAGGGCAGGGUGGGCUGCAGCUCCUGAGGGACCUGGAGCAGCUGAGGCUGAGGCGGCAGCACGGGCAGCGAGGCAGAGUGACUGUAGUGGAGCAGGACUAUACUCCCAGCAGUCUGGGGGGCUGAGGAAGGAGGAUCCAAGCACAAGCCCAACCUGGGCAACUUAGCGAGACCUUGUCUCCAAAUAAAAAGGGCUGGGGAUGCAGCUCAGUGGGAAGGCCCUGGGUUGGCUCCCUGCACCCCCGACACACACAUGCACACUCACACACAAGUGACUGCAGGACGUGUGCUCUCUGCCCCACCAGCAAGGGGAGCUCCAUGAGGAAGCUCAGUGAGUGUGAGGUUCGGCCACCAGCUGACGCAUGGGCGUUCGCCGCCGGGACAGACACCCUCAGGAAGCAGCCCCAGCCAGGACGCCAUGUCCCAGCCCACCGGCAGGCAUCCUGGACUGGAUCCCAGCCCCUCGAGCCACUGUGGGCUCUGGGCUCAGGACGCGAGGUGCCGCCCUGCAGGCCACCCGGGCCCCCCGGGCCCCGUGCCUGACCUUGGCCUUCCUGCUGCCCCCCGCCUUUUAAAGGUUUUCCUGGCAGCCUUGCCAUUUUGCUUCUGGUAGUGGCUUUUACAGAACCGGCUCUUUGUUUACGGGCCAGGACGCCACAAUUGCAGCAGCACAUGAGAUGUUCUAGAUGUUCCCGGCAGCUUCUCUUCAGCAUCAAAUAUUAAACUCCUGCCAUCGGCAGAGUUUGGACCUGGGGUGGGGCCAGCAGGAAGAGCUCGGGCGCAGAGACCUUGGCCUGACCUCAGAUCCAGGCAGGAGGGUGCUCGCCCGUGUCCCGCCCCAGGGACCGAGCUCCGAGAGAGCAAGCCAGCCCAGCGUCCGGCUCUGGCUCAAGGGCCCCAGGGCUGGGCUGGAAACAGAAUCCAACUGUGCCUCUCGAGGCCUCCAGCUGAAGCAGCUCUUUUCUUUUUCUUUUGCCUUUUCUUUUCUUCUUCUUCUUCUUUUAUUUUUUCUAAUUUUGAGACAAGGUCCUCCUGAGUCCCUUAGCUGCCCGAGGCUAGGCUCAAACUUACGAUCCUCCUGCUUCAGCAUCCCGGAGUGCUGGGGUCACAGGUGUGCAGCACCUCGCCUGCUGAGCAGCUCCUGGGCAGCAUUUCUGAGUCUCCACCGACUGUCACCUGAGCCCGAGGACUGCACACCGGCCCUGGAGGCCACUGUGCCUGCAGACGGCAAAAGGCGACACAUAGACACCAGGCAGUGACGGUAACACUGGCCGGGCCCACGCACUUCCAGCUUUGCUCCACCAUGCCCUUCCACCAUGACAUUCCUGCCUUGGAGCAGCCGAUCAGGGACUGAAUCCCCUGCAACUCUGUCUCAGGGGUUUGUCACGGUGACGGAAAGCUGGCCGAUGCGGACAUCUGGAGCCGCGCAGAGGAGGAUCUGCUCGGUGUCACUUCGGCACAGCCUGGGGGUCCUGUCCUAGGGCGCUGGCUUCUCAAGCUGGAGCAGACCUGGCCCAGCCUCUUGUCACCAAUCGCCGGCCACCUUGUUUGGAGGAUUCGAGUUCUGGGGUGCCAACCUAACCCGGCUCAACCCACAGAGACCAGAGCUGGGCCAAGGCUGAGUGUGAAGGUUCUGGCUGCCCAGGGCCCUUCCAGGCUCUCAUCCUGUUCAAAGAAUUGUAUGGAGAGGCUUCACACGCAUUAAAGGUGCGCGGGGGCCUGGGACUCAGCUGCUCCCCUACUGCACGGCCUGCGUGGGAAGAAGCCCACUCCCCAGGCCACUGCAGUGCAUGGGAGGAAGGGCCCUGAGAGGACGUCCCCUCCCUGGACAACCAUCUGCUAGGCUGCCAGGGGCUGCCAGGAAGACACAGGCCCAGAGGGCCAGAGAGUUCCGGACGCCGUCUGGCGUUCCCACUGUGGGAAGGCACUGACCUGGCCAUUGCUCCUCGGAGAUCCUGGGCAGAGAGAUGGGGGCGGCACAGAAAGCUCACCCACAGGCCCGAGGCCUGUUUUUAUAAAUAAAGCUUUAUUGGAACACUGACGCUAUCCUUCCUUUGCAUCUUGUCUGUGGCUGCUUUCCUGCUACAGGAACAGUGGAAUCCUUGGGGCAACCAGGCUCAGGAUGUUUGCCAGACGGCAGGCGAUGCUGUCCCCCAGAAGAUGUAGCUUGUCCUGGCCGGUGGCUGACUCUGCCGUGGGUAUGCACACCAGCUCCUGUGUGGGAUUCCAGCGAUGAGGCAGAAAGGCCGCACGCGUUGUGGCAGCAGCAAAGGCCACUUGCCUGUGUGGCCAGGAUGUGACAGAGAAGGAAGAGAAGGGCCCGGUCCCCCACGUCUCCAAGGGCUCCCCAGGGACCUCGCCCUCAGCCUAUCACUGGGCUUGUCCGGCCUGGAGGAGAAUUUCUGCAGAACCAGUGAGCUCAUCCACUUGAGUGAGGGCACGGGAGGCCAGGAGGAGGCCCUGAGCGCUGUCCACCGCGAGCCAUGUUGGGGUGAACAGGAGUGCCUGCUGGAUCCAAGCCUGCCCCAGAGAAUACAAGAUCUGGGAGCUCUUCUGAGGAAAGAGACGGAACCCCAGCUGGUCACUGAGCAGAUGCUGCAGCCCCCCGGUGGGUCCAUGCACACCAGGAGCUCCGCUCGCCAGGUGCUGGCGGCCUCCUCCCGGUGUUUGCUGGUGAAGACGAGCCUGGACUUCCUUCAAAGUACGGCUGUCGCUGGCACAGGAGUGGGGGUUGGGGGUGACAGCUUGAGGGGGUUGUUUUUCCUUGUUAGCAAGUUCUGCGUUUAACAUUUAAAAUUAUGACAACUGAUGCAAUGUUUUCUUGAAAUGGUGAAGCUAUUUUAAACCAUUCAGCUGGACAGGAGUUUGUAGUUUAUACUGGUACACGUUUAAAACACUUCGCAAUUAAUUAUUGGGCUUAAAAAAUUAAAGCUAUAAUCUGGGCGUGGUGCUGCACACCUGUAAUCCCAGCACUUGGGAGGCUGACACAGGAGUAUCGCUGUGAGUUUGAGGCCAGCCUGGGCAAUAUGGUGAGACCCGUGUCAAUCCCCCCAGAUCAAAGCUGUAAAUUUAUUCCGAUUUCUGUCUUGCACUUCAUUUCAGUGGAAAUAAAGGGCCGGCUAGGAGCACUCUGACUGGCAGUGACGAGACAAUGACAGCUUUUGCUGAAGGCGAAACCUGCCGCCGUCAUUCUUGGGGAUCGGUAGCCUUUCCCCAGUGGGCUUGAGGCCCGGCGCGAGGUCCGUUCUUCACCAGGAGUGCGAAUUCUUCUCUCUAAAUGCAUGUUGACGUUUAGUUGGCACACAGUAAUCACACGCAUGUGGGUUUCGGUGCCGCACUUCGGCACGCGGCACGGAAUGAUCCGUGACUGACGCAGCCAUCGCCUCAAAUGGCAGUCGUUUCUUGGGGGAGGCCCCCGCAUCCCCUCCCUCACUGUUCUGAAAUACUCAGCUGAUCACGGCCCACCACACUUAUCCAGCCCUGCUGUCCUCCCACCCGCCUGCACCCCAACGCCCACGACCGCCCCUCUCCCCGUCCGGGGCUCGGGAGUCUCAGUGUCCCCUUCUUCUAGGAGAAACCUCUUAGCUGUGAUAAAAACAUCCCACGAGUGUUUGCUUUGUUUUGUUUUGGUUGGGUUUGGCGUUGUCUUUCUGCCCUGGCUCUUUCACCUGGAGGGGCGGCCCCCAGUUCCGUGAGAAAUGGAAGGCGGCCGCCCUGAAGAAGCCGAGCGCGCUCUCUGCCCAGGACCCCAGGCUGCAGCCCGCGUGCCCACAGGCGGGAUGCGCACGGCGCCCAGCUGUCGGGAGGGGGGUCCCGGGGCGCCAGGCGUGGACAGUGACAGGGCCGGCAGGGUCCACGGGGCGGGGAGGGGACGGUGUCUGGGGCUGAGGGCCAUGGGGCAGCAGAAUGAAUUAGCAGCUUCUCGUUCUCCUCCCGGAAUCCCCCAGGCCCUGGGACUUUUUGACCAGGAUGACGACCUUCAAGGACUGGGUGGUCGCUCUGACCACAGUGCAGAGUGGGGGAAGGAAAGGAGACGUGUCAGGAGGAGAUUCCGUGCCCGCCUGGACCAAGGAGCGUCAGAAGAAUGGGGAGGAGAAGGCGGGACCCAAGGCUAUUCAGGGAACCAAGUCAAGAGGCCCACAUUCAUCCCUGACAGCAUUAUUUAUCAGCAAUACACGUGUUUGUUUUGUUUUAUUUUGUUUUGGAGACAGGGUCUCACUAUAUCAUCCAGGCUGGUCUUGAACUCCCAGCAAUCCUCUUGCUUCGGCCUCCAGGUAACUAGGAUUACAGGUUUGCACCACCAUAUCUAGUUUAUACGUAUUUUUUGUUAUGUAUCAGCUAACAAAUUUAAUUUUAAAAACAAAUCCUGUUCUUUAAAACUUUUGUAAAACCAGGUGUUGUAAAA